UACGUAGAGUGCGAGCGUUAAUCGGAAUUACUGGGCGUAAAGCGUGCGCAGGCGGUUCGUUGUGUCGGUGGUGAAAGCCCCGGGCUCAACCUGGGAAUGGCCAUGGAAACUGGCGAACUGGAGUGUGGCAGAGGGGGGUGGAAUUCCGCGUGUAGCAGUGAAAUGCGUAGAGAUGCGGAGGAACACCGAUGGCGAAGGCAGCCCCCUGGGCUAGCACUGACGCUCAGGCACGAAAGCGUGGGGAGCAAACAGG
rnacentral:rRNA from 1 species